rnacentral:rRNA from 1 species
GACCUCAUGCUCCUGGAGCGGCCGAUAUCUGAUUAGCUAGUUGGUGAGGUAAAGGCUCACCAAGGCGACGAUCAGUAGCUGGUCUGAGAGGACGACCAGCCACACUGGGACUGAGACACGGCCCAGACUCCUACGGGAGGCAGCAGUGGGGAAUUUUGGACAAUGGGCGCAAGCCUGAUCCAGCAAUGCCGCGUGAGUGAAGAAGGCCUUCGGGUUGUAAAGCUCUUUUGUCAGGGAAGAAACGGCCGAGGCUAAUACCUUUGGCUAAUGACGGUACCUGAAGAAUAAGCACCGGCUAACUACGUGCCAGCAGCCGCGGUAAUACGUAGGGUGCAAGCGUUAAUCGGAAUUACUGGGCGUAAAGCGUGCGCAGGCGGUUUUGUAAGUCUGACGUGAAAGCCCCGGGCUUAACCUGGGAAUUGCGUUGGAGACUGCAAGGCUUGAAUCUGGCA